rnacentral:sRNA from 1 species
GAGUAUCAGGCAGGAUUGAAGAUGUGU